CAGUGGCUGGGUAGGACCUUCUUCAUGUCGUUGAUGUUCUCAACCUCAACACGCAGUCGACUCACCUCGUCCUCGUAGUUCUUCACCCACUGGGUCUGCAGAUUCUUGGAGUCGGUCAGAGCGCGGAUACGCUGGUCCAGGUCUGCUGCGCGGAUGUCAUCCUCGGCCUUGCGCAGCCGGUCUUCUAGUCGGUCUAGAUCAGCGUUACCUAAGAAAAGAAGAGCGUCAAGUUCUCUGGUGAUCUCUGCGAUUUCCUCCAACGCUUUGGUAACCUGCUGUCCAGCUGAUGUUACAUUGGAUUUCGCCUGACUGACCUUUACUUUAGCCUGAACCAAGGAUAUAAAAAUUAAUAUUUUAUUCGUAAUUAUAUUUUUAAAAUUCUAAUCCUAGAUCGGUUUUAGCUAAGAAAUUUUGAAUAAAAAUGAACAUCUUAAACCAA